UAAAAUAAGGUAUAUAUUGUGCUGUUCUCGAAUUGAAAAGAUUUAAGAGUUUAUAAAUUUUACUGUUGAAUAAGUAUUUAAAAUAAACUUUUGGGAGUGAAACGUUAUUCGAUUUUUAAUAUAUCUAGUUUCUUAAGAAAAAAAUUGAAUUUUGUUGACUUUAAAGUGUGAAUUAAUUUUUUAAUAAUCAUUGUGGGUCAGGAAACACCUAAUGGGAUAAGCUUUUAGGUGGAUUUUUAAAAUUUUAUGUUAUGUUAUUAAUUGUAGGAUUAGAAGUUUUUAUCAAUAAUAUAGUGUUAAAACAGUUUUUAACGUGAUUUGAUUUUUAUUUGUUUUAAAUAUUAUAUUAAGAUUAAGGACUAAAUUUUAGGUUUUUGUAAUAAUGAUGGAAUUAGUAUAUAUUUAUGUUAAUAGUUUUAUUAUUUAAAGAUUUUGUAAAGGAAUUCGGCAAAUAUUUUUCCGCCUGUUUACUAAAAACAUGGCCUUUUGAUAAUGAUUUAAGGUCUAACCUGCCCACUGAAAUUUUAAAGGCCGCGGUAUUUUGACCGUGCAAAGGUAGCAUAAUAAUUAGUUUUUUAAUUGGAAGCUGGAAUGAACGGUUGGACGAGAUUAAUACUGUCUCUGCAGGAUUUAUAUAAUUUUAUUUUUGAGUUAAAAAGCUUAAAUGGUUUUAAAAGACGAGAAGACCCUAUAGAGUUUUAUAUUUUGUUGAAUUAUUUAUUGAUUGGUAAUGUAAUAUGAUUUUUUAGGAAAAUAUUAUGUUGGGGCGAUAGGAAAAUUGAAUUAACUUUUUUUAGUUGAAUACAUUGAUAUAUGAUUGAAUGAUCCGUUUUUUACGAUUAUAAGAUUAAAUUACCUUAGGGAUAACAGCGUUAUUUUUCUUGAGAGUUCUUAUCGAAAGAAGAGAUUGCGACCUCGAUGUUGGAUUAAGAUAAAUUUUUGGUGUAGAAGCUGAAAAAUUGGGUCUGUUCGACCUUUGAAAUCUU
rnacentral:rRNA from 1 species